rnacentral:misc_RNA from 1 species
GAUGAAGAACGUAGCGAAAUGCGAUAAGUAAUGUGAAUUGCAGAAUUCCGUGAAUCAUCGAAUCUUUGAACGCACAUUGCGCCCCUUGGUAUUCCGAGGGGCAUGGCUGUUCGAGCGUCAUUAUAACCCCUCAAGCUCAGCUUGGUGUUGGGGCCUGCUGCACUGGCAGCCCUUAAAAUCAGUGGCGGCGCCAUCUGGCUCUAAGCGUAGUAAUUCUUCUCGCUAUGGAGUCCUGGUGGAUGCUUGCCAUCAACCCCCAAUUUUUCUAUGGUUGACCUCGGAUCAGGUAGGGAUACCCGCUGAACUUAAGCAUAUCAAUAAGCGGAGGA